GGAUGGGACCUGCGGUGCAUUAGCUAGUUGGUAGGGGUAACGGGGCCUACCCAAGGCGAUGAUGCAUAGCCGAGUUGAGAGACUGAUCGGCCACAUUGGGACUGAGACACGGCCCAAACUCCUACGGGAGGCAGCAGUAGGGAAUCUUCCACAAUGGACGCAAGUCUGAUGGAGCAACGCCGCGUGAGUGAAGAAGGGUUUCGGCUCGUAAAGCUCUGUUGUUGGUGAAGAAGGACAGGGGUAGUAACUAACCUUUGUUUUGUACGGUAAUCAAUUAGAAAGUACACGGCUAACUACGUGCCAGCAGCCGCGGUAAU
rnacentral:rRNA from 1 species